GUAUAAAAUCUCCUCCAGUCGAAGUUCGUGUCAGGAGUGACCAUUCAGGGAUUCUACCGACGUCCAACCUUCGGCGACUUCUCUCCUGCGACCGAGUCUCCGCAGCAUUCCCGAGUUCUGCCGAUGGAUAAACCCCCCACCAGCAUCGACCAAAUUCUUCAUGACUGCAGGAAGACUUCGUCCGGACUCCUACGGGAGCCGGACUUCAUCCCCGAUUUCGGCUGCAGGUAGACUUCGUCCGGACUCCUACGGGAGCCGGACUUCGUCCCCGACUCCAAUUGCAGAUAGACUUCGUCCGGACUACUACGGGAGCCGGACUUCGUCCACGACUCCAAUUGCAGGUAGAUUUCGUCCGGACUCCUAUGGGAGCUGGACUUCAUCCCCGACUUCAAUUGCAGGUAGACUUCGUCCGGGCUCCUACGGGAGCUGGACUUCAUCUCCGAUUCUGGUUGCAGGUAGACUUCAUCUGGACUCCUACAGGAGCUGGAUUUCAUCCCAAACUCCAAUUGCAGAUAGACUUCGUCUGGACUCCUACGGGAGUCGGACUUCAUCCCCGACUCUGGCUGCAGGAAGACUUCGCCCAGACUCCUACGGGAGCCGGACUUCGCCUCCGACUUUAGUUGCAGGUAGACUCCGUCCGGACUCCUACGGGAGCAGGACUUCAUCCCGGACUCCGGCUGCAGGAAGACUUCGUCCGGACUCCUACGGGAGCCAGACUUCGCCCCCG
rnacentral:lncRNA from 1 species